UCCUCGACCUCUGAUGGCUUCUACAUCUCCCAAGAAAAAUAUAUUCAGGAUCCUCUUGCUCGCGCUGCUCUCGGUUUUGAGCGCACGGUUGUGACUCCUAUGGAGCUCAACGUUCAGCUUCGUGCCACCGAUGGUGACCCUCUUCCUAAUCCAACUCGCUAUCGUCAUCUUGUUGGCAGUCUUGUCUAUCUUGCUGUUACGCGUCCUGACAUCUCCUAUCCUGUCCACAUCCCGAGUCAGUUUGUUUCAGCCCCCACCUCUGUCCACUAUGGUCAUCUCCUCCGUGUUCUACGAUAUCUUCGUGGCACAAUCUCUCAGCGCCUUUUCUUUCCCCGCUCCAGCUCUCUUGAGCUCCAGGCCUAUUCUGAUGCUACCUGGGCUAGUGACCCCUCUGAUCGACGCUCGCUGUCUGCUUAUUGCGUCUUUCUUGGUGGCUCUCUUAUUGCCUGGAAGACAAAGAAACAGACUGGAGUUUCUCGCUCGAGUACAGAGGCUGAGUUGCGAGCCAUGGCGAUGUUGACGGCUGAGGUGAUUUGGUUACGGUGGUUACUUGAGGAUUUUGGUGUGUCUGCUACUACCUCGACUCCCUUACUGUCAGACAGUACUGGCGCUAUCAGUAUU
rnacentral:rRNA from 1 species